rnacentral:tRNA from 1 species
GUGUUUUUAACUUAUGUGGUAAAGUGCUAGACUGUGAAUCUAGAUAACAGGGUUCGAAUCCCGAAAACACC